rnacentral:lncRNA from 1 species
AUGUCUCAUUAAGAAAACCCAUAGUAGGUAGUUUAAAAUUUGCAAAUAUGGUGGAAAUGUUGUCCUCCUUUCGCCCAUUAGCUGAGGUGUGUGAAGGAUUGUGUGUGUGAGAAGAGGGUGGAAGAACGCCCUGAAACUCUCAUUUUCCUUACGGCCACACAUGCUGCUUACAGAGUAUUCAUGAUUAAAAUAAUCUGCAUGUAAUACAGGGAACUCUUAAAGCUACCCAAAAUUAGCCUGCAAUGACAAGUUUGAAUAUUGCCAAUCCACAGUGGACAAUAUGACAUUAAUGCUUCAGCAAGAAUUUGUUUAGACUGGAAAACAUUUUCAUCUACUAAACUUCCUUCUUAUAUUCCUUGUAUGAUGGAGAACAAAGAUCAAUAAAUAAGCAGUUAAGAGUCUGUGUGGGUUUGGCUAGAGUAUUGCCACCAAAGACUCAUGAGACCAUGAACAAAGUAAGCUGGACCAAUACCACAAGGGUAAAGUGAGAAAGUUCCUUGGAUCAGUUCACUCUUUUUACAGUAUGGAUAAAUUGAUAACAGCCAACCAGUGGAAGGGCCAUGAGCUGUGUGCUUAUGUUACUAGCUUUGAAGAAGCUCUACUUCUCCUUUGUAAAGAUGAGGAAACUGUGACUUACAGAAGAGAGACAGGAAAGUCUUCAGAUGAACAGAAGAAGAAAUGAGAGUAUACUGGAAUUUUUGUUUAUUUUGAAAGGAAUCUAUUAGCCAGAAAGGAAGAGUAAAUUCAUUUUGCCUGGCUGGGCAGGGGGCAGCUGAAUCACAAGGAUCAAAUGUAGCACAAAAGAACAAGAGUAACUGGCUUACUCUAACAUGAAACCAUUCUGAGUAAAGUGUAAAGAAGAAGAAUUAAAGUAAGCAAGAUUUGUUUUCUAAGAGACCAAGAUGAGACCUAUGGUUGUGUUCCUUCAGGAAGUGGAAAAUAGAAAUAGUUGCUUCUCAUCAGAUUACUGAAGUGAACUUGUCAGGCCCAGUGCAUACAUUAGAGCAGCUGGGGAGAAAUUUCCAAUAUGUGCUUGAAUAAUCACUACACACAUACGUGUAACCUAACUAAGAUUACACAAUGUGGUUGCCAAAACUGCAAGAAUUUUCAACCUGGCGAAUGAAAAGGAUAUUUCUAUAGUACAAAACCCCAAAUUCAGAGUGAGAAUUAGUGACAAGAGAUUAGGAAAGAUCUCAAAAUAAAGUUCUGCAAAUUUUAAUAACACUUAAACACACUCCAUAAAAAUGUAACUUGCAAAGGGAGGGAGCACAAAUUCAUAACAAUAGAUUAGAAAACUGCAAGAACUUCUCCAUGGAUCAACAUUUGCACUAAACACAUAAAUCACUACAUUUUCAAGGAAGAAAAGUACAGACUAGUCUUACCUUACUGCUGCAAAAGGCUGGAAUAAAAAUUACUGACUUAUAGAAGCAACUUUCACAUAUAUCUGAACAUCAAACACAACACACAAUAUAAAAUCAAAAAUAACUAGAUCAGAAAAGUUUUCAGUCUGACCUUAAAAUACUGAGCAAAUCACUAGAUGAAACCAGAUCAAAAGAAAGGGCAUUACGCCAGCUUGUAGCCAGAUGUGGAAGGGUUCCUGACUACAUGGGGCACAGAUGGUAUAAAAUGGGGGCGGGGCAAGAAGAUCCAAAACAUAAGGCAAAUGAACCUGGUUCAACUUACACAGGUAAGAUUGCUCUGAAGAAUGAAUAGCUUUCAAGGCAACUGAUAAGCCUUUAAAUUUGGGACAAAUGGUGCUAGAUGUCUCAGCUGAAGAGUGCUCACUAGUUUAAAUAUGAAAUUCUUUUGUAUAAUAUUCAAAUGAAAUUAAAUUCUCCAUGAUGAUACAUGAAAAAUUAUGGUGACUUGUUAUAAAAAAUACUAAGAUAGCAUCAACAACUUUAAAAUAAAAUCAUAAAAUUAUUAAAAGCCACAUUACCUGAUUAAAGUCUUAGGAAUCUGGGAAGAAUUUAGUGGAUGCUCACAAAAUAAGUGCAUUUGAAAACAGAAACUCUACAUUUAUUAAAAUAAAACUCUUAAGUUCUUUAGUAUUUCCAACUUAAAAGUGCUAAAAAUAAACUUUUUGCCUUCUUAAACUGUUAUUAAAACUGCU